CCUACGGGUGGCAGCAGUAGGGAAUAUUGCUCAAUGGGGGAAACCCUGAAGCAGCAACGCCGCGUGGAGGAUGAAGGUUUUAGGAGUGUAAACUCCUUUUGUUAGAGAAGAUAAUGACGGUAUCUAACGAAUAAGCACCGGCUAACGCCGUGCAAGCAGCCGCGGUAAUACGGAGGGUGCAAGCGUUACUCGGAAUCACUGGGCGUAAAGAGCGCGUAGGCGGGAUAGCAAGUCAGAUGUGAAAUCUUAUGGCUUAACCAUAGAACUGCAUUUGAAACUGUUAUUCUAGAGGAGGGGAGAGGUAGGUGGAAUUCUUGGUGUAGGGGUUAAAUCCGUAGAGAUCAAGAGGAAUACUCAUUGCGAAGGCGACCUGCUAGACCAUAACGGACGCUGAUGCGCGAAAGCGUGGGGAGCAAACAGGAUUAGAUACCCGUGUAGUC
rnacentral:rRNA from 1 species